rnacentral:lncRNA from 1 species
AUCACAUUCUCUAUAGGGAAUGAGAAUUGAGCAAAUUCAAUGGGACGGAUUUUUAAUUCUUUGCCCCCAAUCGUGGUGGUUCGUUUGGGCAAUGUUUAAGUCCUUGAUUUAAAAUUGAAGGCCGUAGCUUUUGCCAGAGUUUAGAGAGAGGGAGACUGGAAUCGCCAUGCGCGCAUAUUUCUUCGAGCGCUGAGUUAACGAUGGUGUCCAUUGGAAGGAGCAAAAUUCAUUACUGUGGGAACUUAAACUGAAACUGAGAUGGCAGAGUCUCGUGCUGAUAACGUGUUAUGAAACAAUAAAAGAACAAGUGCAAUAUUGCAGAGAAAGAGAGAGAAAUUCUUAUUGAAUUUUGGGGGUCAUUUACAAUGGGGUAAGACCCUCUAUUUAUAGGAGGAAAAAUGACUUAGCCUCAAAGUAAAACUCUCUACAAGAUAGACAUUCACUCUAAAUAGAAUUCUAUUCUUAACAAAUAACAUAAUUUUCAUACUGACUACUGAAAAUUGGAAACUGCCCUCUUUUUUUCAUCUUAUAUGGUAUUUUAUCCCUUUUAAUCAAACUCCAAACGUAAUGAAUAUUAGAUAUUUUGACUUUGAAAAUGAUUUCCCGUUGCUCCUCAUCAGCUUAGCUGUAACACCUCAAACAUUUUCUGUUUUUGUAUUCUCUUUCCCACACAACGGUCAUAUUCCCAUGAAAGUCACA